UAAUACGGAGGGUGCAAGCGUUGUCCGGAUUUAUUGGGUUUAAAGGGUGCGUAGGCGGCCUAUUAAGUCAGGGGUGAAAGACUGCAGCUCAACUGUAGCAGUGCCUUUGAUACUGAUGGGCUUGAGUACAGAUGAGGCUGGCGGAAUGGGUGGUGUAGCGGUGAAAUGCAUAGAUACCAUCCAGAACACCGAUUGCGAAGGCAGCCGGCUAAACUGUAACUGACGCUGAGGCACGAAAGCGUGGGGAUCGAACAGGAUUAGAUACCCUGGUAGUCCACGCCGUAAACGAUGAUUACUCGAUGUUGGCGAUACACAGUCAGCGUCCAAGGGAAACCGAUAAGUAAUCCACCUGGGGAGUACGCCCGCAAGGGUG
rnacentral:rRNA from 1 species